AAGCUCACAACCCGGACAUAUGCCCUGACCAAGAAUCAAACUGUGACCUUCUGGGCUGGAUAAUUUUAUCAGAGACCCUACUAAAUAUGUUUUAAACAAUGUUAUGAUAGGAUACGCAUUUGAGGAAAAAGCCUGAGAUAAAUGUCUACAUGCACAAACAAGUGUCUCAACUAAUAAUCAUAGGUUCUUGUGUUCCAUUCAGUUUUUAAGAAUUUGGGGAUAUUUUUAUUUUAGCUAAGCUCUGUGUUGGUAUAUACAUCUCUGCGAAAAAUAAAGCACACUUAAGUGUAAAUAAAGCAAUUAGUGAAUCAAUUGAUAAUCUCAAUAA